rnacentral:rRNA from 1 species
GAUGAACGCUGGCGGCGUGCCUAAUACAUGCAAGUAGAACGCUGAAGGAGGAGCUUGCUCUUUCCGGAUGAGUUGCGAACGGGUGAGUAACGCGUAGGUAACCUGCCUGGUAGCGGGGAUAACUAUUGGAAACGAUAGCUAAUACCGCAUAACAGUAGAUAUUUCAUGAUAUUUGCUUGAAAGGGGCAAUUGCUCCACUACCAGAUGGACCUGCGUUGUAUUAGCUAGUUGGUGAGGUAACGGCUCACCAAGGCGACGAUACAUAGCCGACCUGAGAGGGUGAGCGGCCACACUGGGACUGAGACACGGCCCAGACUCCUACGGGAGGCAGCAGUAGGGAAUCUUCGGCAAUGGACGGAAGUCUGACCGAGCAACGCCGCGUGAGUGAAGAAGGUUUUCGGAUAGUAAAGCUCUGUUGUAAGAGAAGAACGAGUGUGAGAGUGGAAAGUUCACACUGUGACGGUAUCUUACCAGAAAGGGACGGCUAACUACGUG